UAGAGUUUGAUCCUGGCUCAGAACGAACGCUGGCGGCAGGCCUAACACAUGCAAGUCGAGCGCGCCUUCGGGUGAGCGGCGGACGGGUUAGUAACGCGUGGGAACGUGCCCUUCUCUACGGAAUAGCCUCUGGAAACGGAGAGUAAUACCGUAUACGCCCUUUGGGGGAAAGAUUUAUCGGAGAAGGAUCGGCCCGCGUUAGAUUAGGUAGUUGGUGGGGUAAUGGCCUACCAAGCCUACGAUCUAUAGCUGGUUUUAGAGGAUGAUCAGCAACACUGGGACUGAGACACGGCCCAGACUCCUACGGGAGGCAGCAGUGGGGAAUCUUAGACAAUGGGGGCAACCCUGAUCUAGCCAUGCCGCGUGAGUGAUGAAGGCCUUAGGGUCGUAAAGCUCUUUCGCCUGUGAUGAUAAUGACAGUAGCAGGUAAAGAAACCCCGGCUAACUCCGUGCCAGCAGCCGCGGUAAUACGGAGGGGGUUAGCGUUGUUCGGAAUUACUGGGCGUAAAGCGCGCGUAGGCGGAUUAGAAAGUUGGGGGUGAAAUCCCGGGGCUCAACCCCGGAACUGCCUCCAAAACUGCUAGUCUAGAGUUCGAGAGAGGUGAGUGGAAUUCC
rnacentral:rRNA from 1 species